CCCUUAGAUGUCCUGGGCCGCACGCGCGUUACACUGAUGCAUUCAACGAGCUUAUAACCUUGGCCGAGAGGCCUGGGCAAUCUUGUUAACGUGCAUCGUGAUAGGGAUAGAUUAUUGAAAUUAUUAAUCUUGAACGAGGAAUUCCUAGUAAACGCAGAUCAUCAAUCUGCAUUGAUUACGUCCCUGCCCUUUGUACACACCGCCCGUCGCACCUACCGAUUGGAUGGUCCGGUGAAGCCUCGGGGUUGUGGUUCUUGCCGCUUUAUUGUGGCGUGACCGCGAGAACUUGUCUAAACCUUAUCAUCUAGAGGAAGGUGAAGUCGUAACA
rnacentral:rRNA from 1 species